CAGUCGUACCUUCGGGUAAUCAGCCUUUCGAGUGCGACUCUGUGGAGUGUGAGGAGCUAAACACCUCCAUGCCUGCAUAUUCGUGCUCUUGGGUGUACUUGCUCGUGUGGUUGGUUAACAUCAAUUUCGGACGCCAUAAAAUGGCUGGAGGAAUGUAGCUUCAAUCUCGUAUUGAAGUGUUAUAGCCUUCGGUAGAUGUGGUGAUCGAGAUUGAGGAUCGCAACGGAUACCCUUCGGGGCUACCUGUCUGGUCUCUGAUCGUUGCUCUGGUCCCGAAGCUUGCUUACGGUUAUCGAAAGUG
rnacentral:rRNA from 1 species